rnacentral:rRNA from 1 species
UACGAAGGGGGCUAGCGUUGCUCGGAAUCACUGGGCGUAAAGGGUGCGUAGGCGGGUCUUUUUAAGUCAGGGGUGAAAGCCCAAGGCUCAACCUUGGAAUUGCCUUUGAUACUGAGGGCCUUGAGACCGGAAGAGGUCGGCGGAACUGCGAGUGUAGAGGUGAAAUUCGUAGAUAUUCGCAAGAACACCAGUGGCGAAGGCGGCCGACUGGUCCGGUUCUGACGCUGAGGCGCGAAAGCGUGGGGAGCAAACAGG